rnacentral:rRNA from 1 species
AUGGCUUCGUUGGUGCUCAGAUCCGCCGGCCGCGUGGUCCGGCGAUCCAUCCCGCAAGUGUCCUGUCGCCGGUCGCCCAUCUCCGGUUCCGCCGGGAACACCAAGCUCAACAAGUACUCCACCUCAUCCUCGGGUCAGCAGGUGAGUAAGGUGAACGAGGUGAACUAUGAGGACCUUAUUGAGGAGAAGAGCAAAGAGCUGACUCGUGUCGUAGGUGAACUGAAGAAAGAAUUUAAAGAACUCGAGUUGGUGUUGGAGAAAAAUGACGCCCGUGCCAGAAGGCUCGCUAUGCAGAGACCAUUCAAGAUGUUAGCUGGUGCCACAGUUGGUUUUCUCCUUGGCUUUCAUACUCACAAGUACAUUAGUGACUGA